AACUCGUACAGGUGAGCUAGCUAGCUGGUAAGUCGACUGUCCGUCUUAUAUGAUUUUUUUUUAUAAUUUGUAUUUUUACUGUUGUUAGAUGAUAAAAUAUGAUUAAUAUUUUAUGCGUGACUUGUCUUUUUAAUUUUUUUCAUAAUUUUUUCAAAUAAGACGGAUGGUCAAACGUUGACGAAAACUAGGGUUUGUCUUUUU
rnacentral:pre_miRNA from 1 species